rfam:Gaeumannomyces graminis var. tritici R3-111a-1 unplaced genomic scaffold supercont2.2, whole genome shotgun sequence.
GGUCGUAUAGCGCAAUGGUAGCGCAUUUGUUUUUGUAACGGGAAAAUUUGGGUUUAACUCCCGGUGCAACCU